GACGAACGCUGGCGGCGUGCCUAAUACAUGCAAGUCGAACGCAGUGGGGACGGGUGAGUAACACGUGGGUAACCUCCCAUCAGAGGGGAUAACACUUGGAAACAGGUGCUAAACCGAUAUUGAUGGAUUGACCCGCGGUGCAUUAGCUAGUUGGUGAGGUAACGGCUCACCAAGGCCACGAUGCAUAGCCGACCUGGGAGGGUGAUCGGCCACACUGGGACUGAGACACGGCCCAGACUCCUACGGGAGGCAGCAGUGGGGAAUAUUGCACAAUGGGCGCAAGCCUGAUGCAGCCAUGCCGCGUGUAUGAAGAAGGCCUUAGGGUUGUAAAGUACUUUCACCAUCGACGGUAGAUGGAGAAGAAGCACCGGCUAACUACGUGCCAGCAGCCGCGGUAAUAC
rnacentral:rRNA from 1 species